rnacentral:rRNA from 1 species
GACGAACGCUGGCGGCGUGCUUAACACAUGCAAGUCGAACGGAAAGGCCCUGCUUUUGUGGGUUUCUCGAGUGGCGCACGGGUGAGUAACACGUGAGUAACCUGCCCUUAUCUUUGGGAUAACAUCAGGAAACUGGGGAUCUUACCGGAUAUAAUCUCCUGCUGCAUGUUGGGGGAUGGAGAGUUUCGGCGGUUGGGGCUGGACUGGCGGCUUAUGAGCUUGUUGGUGGGGUAGUGGCUUACCAGGGCUUUGACGGGUAGCCGGCCUGGGAGGGUGACCGGCCACAUGAGUACUGAGAUACGGCCCAGACGCCUACGGGAGGCAGCAGGGGGGAAUAUUGCAGAAUGGGCGGAAGCCUGAGGCAGCAACGCCGCGUGCGGGAUGACGGCCUUCGGGUUGUAAACCGAUUUCGCAGGUGACGAAGCGGGAGUGACGGUAAUGGGUAAAGAAGCACCGGCUAACUACGUG